CCUAUGGCUCAAUCUAUGGGUCUGCCCCAUAGGACCUGGAGCGCCAGCCGGGUGACUCGCGUUGGUUGGACGCCAUUGAGAAGGAUUUACACCGACAGUUCCCGUUCCACGAGAUGUUCGUCGCACGGGGGGGACACGGGCAGCAGGACCUGUACCGGGUGCUGAAGGCCUACACGGUGCUGCGGCCCCACGAGGGUUAUUGCCAGGCACAGGCACCCGUGGCUGCUGUGCUGCUCAUGCACAUGCCUGCUGAGGCUGCGUUCUGGUGUUUGGUGCAGAUCUGUGACCGGUACCUGCCGGGGUAUUACAGCCCAGGGCUGGUGAGAU